UGGGGAAUAUUGGACAAUGGGCGAAAGCCUGAUCCAGCAAUGCCGCGUGUGUGAAGAAGGCCUGCGGGUUGUAAAGCACUUUUGGCAGGGAAGAAACCCCGGGCUGAUACCCUCGGGUUUUACGUAACCUGCAGAAUAAGCACCGGCUAACUCUGUGCCAGCAGCCGCGGUAAUACAGAGGGUGCAAGCGUUAAUCGGAAUUACUGGGCGUAAAGCGCACGUAGGCGGUUGGGUAAGUCGAUUGUGAAAGCCCCGGGCUUAACCUGGGAAUUGCAGUCGAUACUGCCUGGCUAGAGUAUGGAAGAGGGAAGCGGAAUUUCCGGUGUAGCGGUGAAAUGCGUAGAUAUCGGAAGGAACACCAGUGGCGAAGGCGGCUUCCUGGUCCAAUACUGACGCUGAGGUGCGAAAGCGUGGGGAGCAAACAGGAUUAGAUACCC
rnacentral:rRNA from 1 species